rnacentral:lncRNA from 1 species
AGCUGAGGCAUGUGGAAGUUCCAGGCCCGGGAUCAAACUGGCACCACAGCCGUGACCCAAACUGCUGCUGCAAUGACAAGGCCGUUUCCUAAACCCGAUGUGCCACAGGUAACUCCCAGUGAAGACUUGGGAAUGCAACUUUGGCCGGUAAAUCAAUAAAGGAGAUGAAAUCGCAUCCUAAAACACACUCAGUUCAUGAAAAUAGUGGCAGGAAAAGAAAAAUGGGAAGAAGGAACGAUGGGACAAAUAGAAAUGAAAAGCAAGAUGAGACACUUGCACUGACCUGUAGGAAGAGCCACACUGAGUGUAAAUGGUCUAAAUACCGCAAUUAAAAAGGAGAUAUGGUCAGGCUGAAUUUUCCCAAGGACCCCACUAAAUAGCACCCACCAAACACCCACGUUCUAUUUCAUGACGUAAAAGAAUGUGUGCAAACGCAGGACCAGUUUCCAAACCCCCAUCUAACCCACCAAAGAGCGCCCAGAGAGACCCAGCUGUUAAAAGGCCCCCGCCUGUCCCACCAAAGCCCCCAAGAUCUCAGCCCAGACCAGACUGAGGGGAAAGGCAGCAGCUCACAUCCCAUCAGGAGAGGAAGGGUCCCGGAGCUCAAGGGGGUCCGGGACACUGGAGCGUUGACCACGUCUCCACAUGACGUUGAUGAGAAAGAAAAGAAAUGAGAUGGUUGACAGGGACCAUCGGGGCCUCCUGUGGGCGCGGAUGUCAGAGAAGGUGGGAGACCCCACGGGGGAAGAGGAGACGGGGAUUUGUGACCUUGAUCCAAGAGCUGAGGCCCAGGCCAACCUGAGGGCUGCUGGGAGGGACCCAGGGCCUUGUCCUUCCUGCUCAGUCACAGGUGCUGAGGCCGCCCCUGCUGUGACUCCAUUUGCAGCCCCAGAGGAGGAGGAAAUUUGCAUGAACCCUGAAGCCUCCCUGCCCCAGGGCCCUGGAGGGAAUAAGAGAGGCCCUGGGGAGCCCUGGCUGCUGCUGAGUCUCAGAGGCAGAGCUCAGG